AUUAUAAUUACUGUUACAGUCUGCUGCAUUGUUUUUUAUUCUGAGAUUCUCUGACUGACCAGCAGCAAACUCUCCCUACCAUUGAGAGAACAAAAGAGAGAGAUAGAGAGCGAGAGUGAGUGAGAGAGAGAGAGAGUGAAUGAGAGAGAGAGUGAGUGAGUGAGAGAGAGAGUGAGUGAGUGAGAGAGAGAGUGAGUGAGAGAGCAAGAGAGGGGGAGAGAGAAAGUGCGAGAGAGGGAGAGAGAGACAGAGAUAAAGAGAGGGAGAGAGAGAGAGGAGAGACAGAGACAGAGAGAGAGAGAGAGACAGAGGGAGAGAGAGCACAAAGCAUCAGUUGUGUUAUACUGUUUACUUUUCAACUUGUGUUAUAAAGGCACCUUAUUAGUCAAUUUAUGUGUGAUAGUAUUACUGUAUGUGUUGUGUGUGAGUCAUAUGUACUGUGUUGUGCACAUUGAUCCAGAAGAACAUUGUUUCAUUUACUGGGACAGAUGAAUACACUUCAGUGGCAAUAAACUUGAACUUGAAUUCUGGGAGGGAGAGUGUUGAUAAGAAUCUGAGGAGAAUAAAACAGGAUUAGUGUAGGAUCAUGGUAAGUGGGUGGCUGAUAGUUCACGUGGACUUGAUGGGCCAAAUAGCCUGUCGGUAUGCUGUAUGAUUAAACAUACAGAGGGUGCCAGAAGAGGUUUAUCAGGAAGCUGCCUGCAUUAGAGGGCAUGUGCAGUAAGGAGAGGUUGUACAGACUGAGGUUGUUUUCUCCGAGGAGAGAUCUGAUGGCAGUUUAUAAGGUUAUGAGAGGCAUAGAGUUGACAGAUUGUAUCUUUAUCCCAGGGUCAAAAUGUUUAAUACCAGAGGCAUGCAUUUAAGGUGAGCAGGGAUAAUUUCAAAGGAGAUGUGAAGGGCAAGUUUUACAUAGAGUGUGGUGGGUGUUUGGAAUGCGCUGCCCGGGGGGUGGGGUAGUAGAGGCAGAAACAUUAGGGACUUUUAAGAGAUGUUUAGAUAGACACGUGAAUGUGAGGGAAAUGGCAGGAUAUGGACAUUGUUUGGGCAGAAAGGAUUAGUUGAAUUGGUCAUUUGAUUGGCUCGGUACAGCACUGUAGGUCGAAGGGCCUGCCCCUGUGCCGUAUCGUCCUGUAUGUGGAUAUCACCCAGGAAAAUUCUCAAUAGGCUUUGGGAAUUCCCGCAAUGAACAGUCACAUAAAAAUCUCUUCCAGGAACAUAUAAAAGCAAAAUCUGCUCCGAGAAGGACAUAAUCUUCCUCCCCCACCUGCCCGAGGCGGCUUGCGGUGUGGACUUGUGGAAGUGCGUAGGUCUGACCUACUGGGAGUGGCAGUCUCUGAACCCACUCUGAACCAUCGGGGGUUUAUAGCUCACUUUCAAAGAGCCCAGAAGUGAUGAGGUUCCUUGAAUUAAAUGUUUGCACUGGUAUUUGAACUUCUGACUCUGGCAUCACUAGUACAGCACAUUAACAACUAACCAGGCGUGGGUUAACUAGAAAUAUAACUCUGUCUCUCUGCAAACUAAGCUGCCUGUUCAUGAGCAUUUUUAGCAUUUCUUGUGCUUCCUUCGGUUUUCCAGCCAUUGUAGUGUGGUGUACGGUGCUUUUCGUGCCAUGAUGACUACCUCACCCGGUUUCAACAGUGAACUCUUUGUAACCCAAAUCUCUAAGCAAGUUCCCCACGCAGAAGAUGCCUGUAGCUUCACAGCAGCUGGGAAAUCUCGCUGCUUCCCGUGACCACGUGGGUUUCCUCCGGUUGCUCUGGUUUCCUCCCACAGCCCCAAGGAUAUUGGGGUUUGGUAGGUAAGGAGUUUGGAUGUUCUCCUCCUGAAUGCGUGGAGUUUCCUCCAAGUGCUUCGCUUUCCACCCGCAUUCUAAAGACUGUAAGACACAGUAGAACUAGGCCAUUCAGCCCUUUGCAUCUUCUCCUACAUAGGGGUUAGUAGGGCAGUUGGUCACAUGGGUGUAAUUGAGCAGCAUGGGCUUGAUGGGCCGGAAGGCUUUUACCUUGCAGUGUCGGGAAGUCUUUGCUAUGGAGGCACAAGAGACUGCAGGCGUUAGAGUUUGGAGAUAAAAAUAAGCUGAGUCAGGCCGCUUCUGUAGGGAGAGAUGUUCGUUCGGCAUUUUUCCUAUCAUUGUUUUUAAGUUGACACCGUGAUUGCCAUACACAGUUUUGGUCUCCUUACCUAAAGGAGGGUAUCUUUGCCUUGAUAAGGCUCACUCAAUUAAUUCCAAAUUUCAAAGUUCAAAGUAAAUUUGAUUAUCAAAGUACACACAUAUCACCAUAUACAACCAUGAGAUUCAUUUUCUUGUGGGCAUACUCAAUAAAUCCAUAAAAUAACAACCAUAGAAGAAUCAGUGAAAAAUUGCACCAACUUGAAUGUUCAACUAGUGUGCCAUAGGCAACAAACCGUGCAAAUAUAAAAAAGAAAGAAAUAAUAUUAAUAAUAAUAAAUAAGCAAUAAAUAUUAAAAACAUGAGAUGAAGAGUCCUUGAAGGUGGGUCCGUUGGUUGUGGGAAUAUUUCAGUGAUGGGGUGAGUGAGGUUGAGUGAAGUUACCUCCUCUAGUUCAAGAGCCUGUUGUUUGAGGGAUAAUAACUGUUCCUGAAUCUGGUGGUGCAAGUCCUGAUGCUCCUGUACCUUCUUCCUGAUGGCAGCAGCGAGAAGAGAGCAUGACCUGGGUGGUGAGGGUCCCUGAUGAUGGACACUUUGUGUAGAUGUGCUCAAUUCUGGGGAAGGCUUUACCUGUGAUGGGCUGGUCUAUAUCCACUACUUUUUGUAGGAUUUUCCCGUCAAGGGCAUUGGUGUUUCCAUACCAGGCUGUGAUGCAGCCAGUCAAUACACAUCCAUGGAAGUUUGCCUAAGUUUUAGAUGUCAUGUUGAAUCUUUUCAAACUCCUAAAGAAGUAGAGGUGCUGCAUGCUUUCCUUGUAACUGCACUGACCUGCUGGGCCCAGGACAGGUCACAAAUGACACAGAUGGAUUUAAAGUUGAUGACUCUCCACCUCUGAUUCUCCAAUGAGGUCUGGCUCAUGGACCUCUGUUUUCCUCCUCCUGAAGUCAAUAAUCAGCUCCUUGGUCUUGCUGAUACUGAGUAAGAAGUUGUUGUCAUGACACCACCACUCAGCCAGAUUUUCAAUCUCCCUCCUAUUUGCUGAGUCGUCACCACCUUUGAUUCAGCCAAUGACUGUGGUGUCGUCAGCAAUGUUGAAUAUGGCAUUGGCUUGGCCACACGGGAGGGUUACCAACUAUAAUACUGAAGGAGGCCUUCCAGCCCAUCGUAUCCAGGCCAUUUCCCAGCGGAGCAAUCCCAUCAGUCCCAUUCUCCCUCCUUAUUUUCCUUUCAGCCUACAGUUUUGCAUUCUUACAUGCCCAUCAGCUCCCCUUUGAUAGUUUGCCACUCACCUGUAGUAAGGGGUCAUGUUACCUGCCAGAUAACCUUACAGCAGAUAAAAGGAUGUGGAGUAAAAUGAAGCAACCAGAAGAAAGCAACACGCAAACUGGUCACAAGCAGUACCCAAGGUAAAGAUCAGUCGCAGCACCCUGGAGCCCAUGAGGCAGUGAUCUACCCAGUACUGCACAGUUUGGUAUUAUGAGGAAAUUUAAGCUUUUUGAGGUUUUACUAUCAGAUGAAUGAAGUCUGUUUUCGUUAAGACAGAAAAAAAUUGUGAGGGGUUUUACCAGCACCAAUGUCAUGGGAUACAGUAUUAUCCCUUUAGAAGAGGGGCCUAGUCUCAGGUCACCCAUUUCCAACUGAGAAUGAGGUGGGGAGGAACUUAUUCAAUUUGAGGCUCCUUCAGCCUUACGUCCCUCCCCACCAGGUUCAGGAACAGUUCAACCAUCGGGCUCCUGACCCAGCGUGGCCAUCUUCACUCACCUCAACACUGAACUGAUCACUGAUCACAACCAAUGGACUCACUUCAAAGACUCCACAACUCGUGUUCUUGGUACUAUCUAUCUAUCCAUCUAUCUAUCUAUUUAUUUAUUUAUUGCAUUUGCACAGUUAGUCUUCUUUUGCAUGUUGGUUGUUUGCCUGCCUUUGCUUGUGUGUAGUUUCUCAUUGAUCUAUCAUACUGUGAAUACCUGCAAGAAAAUGAUUCCCAGGGUGGCAUGUGCUGACAUAUAUGUACUUUGAUAAUAAAUUACUUUGAACUUGAGCCAUAAAAUACAUCCAAGCUGAGGUAUUUAGGGUUUAGAGCAGGGGCUCCCAGCCCUUUUUAUGCCAUGGACCCCUACCAUUAACUGAAGGGUCCGUGGACUCUAGGUUGGGAACCUCUGCUUUAGGGGAACCAAGAGUUUGGGGAGUAAAAUGGACGAGAAGCUAUCGAUUAGAUCAGCCGCAAUGGUGGAGUUGGCUCAAGGGGCUGACUGACUAUUCCUGUUCCGAUUUCCAUGCUAUUUUGUUUCUCCCGCAGCAUUUGAAUGUCAUACCUGUUCUAUCCGACUUUUUCCGGUGCAUCUACCUGUCACGUGACGGCUCAAGACUAGAGCUAGAAAACUAGAGAUAGCAGCAUACUAUCAGAAGCAUGAAAAUCAGCCUGAGGUUAUCAAUCUGUGUCGGCCUUAUGCAAACGAUUAAUUCUGAAUCAACCCUUAAAACAAAAGACUGAUCCAGUUGCACAAGAUGCUGACUGAUCUACUUCCAGCACUUAGUUUUUCAUCACUGAACAGUGGUCUGCCAUGAGAUUGGACUGCACACCUUUUUUUCUGGAGGAGCACUUUCUAUCUGGAUCCAGAUCUCUGUGGCACUUCUGGACUUUGACCAUUUCAACUUAAUGUUUCCUCUGAUGUUUUUCUUUACAGUUGUGUGGACUAACCAUUGCUCUGAGCAGGGGAUUCUUACACCGCCCGAAAACUGUGCGGCACUUCAAUUAUUUUUUCCUGUAAUAUCCAUAUUUCGGCGUCAUGUUCAGCAGGCUGGCAGUUUAUUAACAACGAGAUCCCGCAACCCACCUGGAUCGAAGGGGUGCUAUACAGAUCAGCACUGGACCAUGGUUGAGAAGAGAAGUACAAGAAAUACAAUACAAUUUAUGAAAAACUAUAUAUAAACAAAGACAACAAACAAGUGGAAAUUCAUGUUCAAGUUUAUUGGCAUCUGACUGCACAUGUAUACAACCAAAUGAAGCAAUGUUCCUCCAGACUGCGGUACACCCACACAGCAUAUAUCACACACAGCACGUAAAAGAAAAUAUUACUACAAAUAAGUUAAUAAAAUAUAAAACAACAUGCAUGUAGUUCACAGCAUUGGUGAACAGUAAACAGUGGCCAGUAACAGUAAACACCUCACCGUCCCAGUGACGAGACCAUGGUGGUGGCAGUGAGUUCAUUAAUCUCACAGCCUGAGGGAAGAAGCUGCUCCUGUACCUCCUUCCUGACAGUAAUGGGUCAGAGAGAUUGUGGGAUGGGUGGUAGGGAUCCUCAACGAUGCUUCAGGUGCCUCAUCCACAAUGCCCUGGUAAAAUGUCACAAGCAGUGGGGAGGGAGAUCUUAGUGAUACCCGUGACAGUUUUCACUAACCUUGCUUUGCAGCUUCCAUCUCACACAAUGAUGCAGUCAUGCUUGAUGGUGCCCCUGUAGGAAAUUGUAGGAAAGGGUGCAGGGAGACUUGCACACCUCAAAAGAGCCAUCGAAUAGUACAGCACAGAAAUAGGCCCGAUUGCCCAUCUAAUCUAUGCUGAACCAUUUAAACUGCCUACUCCCUUCAUCCAGCACUGGGACCAAAGCCAACCUUGUACCUAUCCAAAGUCCUCUUAAACGUUGUGCCGGCAGCUCGUUCCAUACUCUCACGACCCUUUGAGUAAAGAAGUUUCCCUUCGUGUUCCCCUCAAACUUUUUGCCUUUCACCCUUAACUCACGACCUCUGGUUGUCGUCCCACCCAACCUCAGUGGAAAAAGGCCUGCUUCCAUUUAUCCUAUCUAUAACCCUCAUAAUUUUGCAUAUCUUUAUCAAAUCUCAAUUAUCUCCAUCCCAAGGAAUGAAGUCCUAACCUGUUCAAUCUUUCCUUAUAAGAGGCAUUGAUCAUGUGGAUAGUCAGAGGCUUUUUCCCAUGGCUGAAAUGGCUAACACGAGAGGGCACAGUUUUAUGGUGCUUGGAAGUAGGUACAGGGGGAUGUCAGGGGUAAGUUUUUUACGCAGAGAGUGGUGAGUGUGUGGAAUGGGCUGCCAGCGACUGUGGUGGAGACAGAUACAAUAGGGUCUUUUAAGAAGCUCCUGGAGCUUAGAAAAAUAGAGGACUAUGGAUAACCCUAGGUAACGUCAUGUAAGUACAUGUUUGGCACAGCAUUGUGGGCCGAAGGGCCUGUAUUGUGCUGUAGGUUUUCUACGUUCUAUUAUAACUUAGAUCCUCCACUCCCGGGAACAAGCUUGUAAAUUUUCCUCAAUUUCCUCAGGAAGUGUAGACACUGCUGUGCCUUCUUGACGACUGAAGAGGUGUUGUGGGUCCACCAACAACACUGCAACAUAUUUAAAAUAUGCCAUUUGUGGAGGUGGUGUUUCAUUGCUGCAUUCCCUUGCCAGCACAACAUUGUGUUUGAACUGGCAAGCAUCGGAAAAUAACCUUUUGAAACAACACAAUCAUUGCAAUAUAAAACACCCGAUGAUCAGUGUGGACAGUGUGGUUAAAAAGGUCUCUCCGGCAUCACCAGUCGAGCUGCAGUAGGUGUCUUGUUUGAUAAUGUAACAAGGAAGGAGGCUGAGAGCAGAGAUUAGUGCCCUGAUGUUAUUUAUCUAUCUAUCAGCGUGGACUGGGUCUUCCAGCCCUUCAAGUUGUGCCAUGCAGCUAAACCCCCAAUUUAAUCCUAGCCUAAUCACAGGGCAAUUUACAAUGACCAAUUCAUCUACCAGUCGGUGUGGUUUUGGAAUGUGGGAGGAAACCAAAGCACAUGGAGGAAAUGCACGUGGUCACAGAGAGAACGUACAAGUUGUCUGAGUAGAAGAAUGUGGAAGUUCUGGUGGAAGCAGCUGAAGAAAGGAGGGAGCAACACAAACAGAAUGCUGGAGGAGCUCAGCAGUCCAAGCAGCAUCUAUGGAAAAGAGUAAAUUGACGUUAGAGCUGAGACCCUUCGAAGACUCUUUAAGUCCUGCCAAAGGGUCUCGGCCUGAAACAUCGACUGUUUAACUCUUUUCCAUAGAUGUUGCCUGUCCUGCUGAGUUCCUCCAGCAUUUUGUGUGUGUUGCUGUGGAUUUCCAGCAACUGUAGAUUUUCUCUUUUUUGUUGAAGAAAGGAGAGCCUGGUUUGUGUAGGAGUGAUCGGCCUGGUGAGCUAUCUCCAGGAGGGCUUGAGACCCAGUGGCAGGAGAUCUGACAGUUCUCUCCACGGCUCCUGAGACAUUCGGUUGGUGCUACAGAAAAAGCUGAUGACUAGUUUGGCUACAUCAAGAUCAGGCCCCCUGCUCAAUUUUCUCUCUUCUUUGAAUGAGUGCCUGCUGUAGGAAUGCAAAUAAUGUGGUGCACUCAACAAUGUUGUUUGAUUGUAAUUAGGUAGUGUAGUAGUUAGUAUAAUCCUAUUACAGCGACAGCUGUAAGUUCAGGGUUCCGUUCCUGCCGCUGUCUCUAAGCAGUCUGUACAUUCUUGCUGUGAAUGUGUGGAUUUCCUCUGGAUGCUCUGGUUUCCUCCCAAUUUCCUAAAAGGCGUACGGUUAGGGUUAGUGAGUUGUGGGUAGGCUAUGUUGGCACCAGAAGUGUGGCAAUACUUGCGGACUGCCAUCGCAAUCAUUGCUGAUUUGGUUUGAUGUAAACGAUGCCUUUUAUUGUACCUUUUGGUGUACAUGUGACAAAUAGAGCUAAUCUGGUCUUGGGUCUUUACUGCUGGGAUAUUGGCCCUGGUGAGGAUACUGAUGGUGGUUUGCUAAUUGGUUUUGGAGGAUUUUUGCAAAGGCCGGUGUUUUGAGGGUCCAGAGCUCAGAAAUAUGCAGGAGGCCUGAAAUCUCUACUCCCUGUAGACCGUGAACAUUUUGCUAGGGUUGAACUCUUGAUCUCUACUCUUCUUUUCAGGUGGCUGAAGGUUGUGUUGGCACAUCUCAGAGGCGCUUCCCUUGGUGAUCUAGAUUUAAGAUCAGAGGCGAGAUAUUUUAGAAAGAACAUUAGGCGUAGCCUCAGGCAAAGGGUGGUGUGCCUUUGCAAUGAGCUGCAAGAAAUAGCGGCUGAGGCGGGUACAUUGAAUGUACGGUAGCCAAGAGUGGUGAUGCUUUAAAUUCAGGAUACUCAAGACCAGAAAUGGGUUACCACUGAUAUCACAGUGGGUUAUAGGGUUGGAGGAGGAAAGGAAAGAUUUUAAAACAACAAUAAACCUUAAUUUUAAAAUGUUCAUUACAGUAGAUCAGUAAACGGGAUGAGUCAGACUUGGGUUGGGACAACAGAAUUUAGAAUGACCUCCUGUUGUUAGAGUUGAACGAGGACAGCAUGGAGUCUCACUACCACUUCUCUCAUCGAGGACUGAUGCACCAUCAAUAACUCUCAGAGACGGGAGGCAAACGACAGGCUUUUACUAGCUGCAAGAAAUGACCACACAACAUCCUGGAGACUGAGGGGGGAGCAGUGCCUCCAAUCGCCUUUAUACAGGGGUCUGUGGGAGGAGCCACAGGAGCAGGGGCGUGUCCAGACAGGUAUAUGUAGUUCACCAGAAGGACUGGCCUCACAAACUAGCUCAUUGACCCAGCUGCCCCUGCAUCUCCAUGUGGCAUUGUUGAGGUUGGAGUUGCUUAAGUCCCAAAUAAAGAUUUCACUAGUAGUGAUCUGGGGGUGGGUGACUGGGGUUACUGGGGUAGAAACGGAUCAUCAUAGUUAUGGCGUGGACCUGUCCGAAACUCAAUUCAGGGGAAACCUUGACUGAAAGAGUCAGGGGUGGCACAGUUUCACAGAGCUGUUACAGAGACAGCAACCCGGCUUCAGUUAUACUGCUGACUUAAAGGACUUUGUAUGUUCUCCCCACGACCGCUUGUUUUUCUUCUGGUGCUCCAACUUCCUCCAGCGGUUCAAAGACGUACAGGUGAGUAGGUUAAUUGGUCACGUGGGUGUAAUCGGGCGGGAGUUACCUGGCUGUUUCUCUAAAUAAAUAAAGAGCACAAAUACUCCGAUUUGGGGAGAGAUAGAAUGGGUGUCUAUGGUGUGGUGUUCUUGAGCUAGACACAACCACUCCCUCCGUUAGAAUACUACUUGGAGGGAACUUCUCCACUUCCCCAAUUAGAUGUUGGAUAAGCAAUCUUACAAUGCAGCGAGAGUGCAGGAGUCAAAAGAGAUGUUAUGAGCCGAGCGAGGCUGGGAGUUACAUGAACUGACACUGUGUUUCCACAUAAUGUUGGUUCCAAAUAUUGACAGAUUUCCUUUCUCUUGCUGUAUUAGGGACUUUGUCAGGAUUUAAAAUUUUAUUUCAUGGGAGAGUUAAGGUGGACCCCCAUUAAGUGUGUUUCCUUUUAAUUAACAAUAUGCUACUUAUACUCACAGCACAUUCCUGUAGCUAUUUUUUGAAUGCAGUUACACAGAUUGUUGUCUCCUGCACUCUGGUUGAAAGCCCUAGUUUGACGUUCAUUCAUUGAUUCUGUUACAGAUGCUGUUCUAUAGAUCAGAUCGUAGAGUGUGCUGACAAGAAAAUGAAUCUCAGGGUUGUACGUGGUUGUCCCUCAAGGUCUGAGGAAGAAUACACAUUGUGCAGUCUCCUGUGGCUACGCAUGUGGCUUCGGAGGCCGAAGCACACACGUGGCUGCAGGUUGGACAUGGAAUGGCAGUUGUUGGAACAGGGGCAUACACAGCUUUGUGGCGUCAGCCUCGUGCUCUGCAAGGCACUGAUUUCGGUCAUCCCCAAAGUCAGAUGCAGCUUUUCUGGUCGGGCGUGCUGUGCAGCCCCGUCGGCGGCAGACUCCUCAAGCUGUCGAGGCCGGAGGUCUGCCCGUUUGGCGUACAAUCUCAAAUUGUAUAUAUGUACUUUGAUAAUAAAUUUACUUUGAACUUUAAUGAACACUACAGAGAACUCUGUACAGAAACAUGGACUGGGUUAGGUUCUAACCUUGCUGGGAAGUUCAGUCUGGAAGAGAAUAUCAAAUCAGAAAUGAGCAUGAAUCUGAGAACCCCCUGCUUGUUUAAGACAGCGAUAAACUUGUUUCAGAAUUAUGGAGAACCCUUGAAUAAAAAAACAAACAAAAAGAAAUAAUCCUUUCCUCCACUUCAGAUAUGAUGUAUACCAGUUUAAUCUGUGAGGGUGAGCUCAUUAUAAACUAGUUUUUAUUUGGAGAAUCAGUACAGUAACAGAUCCAUCCAGCCCAAUGGGCCCAGACCACAUUACAUGUGGCCAAUUAACCUACUAACUGGUACGUCUAUGGGAUGUGGGAAGAAACCAGUGCACCCAGAGGAAACCCAUGCAGUCACAGGAAAAAUGCACAAACUCCUUACAGACGGCGGGAAAUGAACCUGGAUCUUGGCAUUGUAUUGGUAUUAUGCUUACGAGGAGGCAUAGUUUUAAGGUGCUUGGAAAUAGGUACCGAGGGGAUGUCAGGGGUAAGUUUUUCACACAGAGAGUGGUGUGUGUGUGGAAUGCACUGCCAGCGGCGGUGGUGGAAGCAGAUACAAUUGGGUCGUCUAAGGCCCUCUUACAUGGAGUUUAGAAAAAUAGAGGGCAAUGUGCUAGGAAAAUUCUAUGCAGUCUCUAGAGUAGGAUACAUGGUUAGCACAGCAUUGUGGGCCGAAAGGCCUGUAAUGUGCUUUAGAUUUCUGUGUUCUAUGUUCUAACUGCUACAUCUCAAAGAUGAAGAAGAAUACUAAAGGGAAAUGAGGCAACUGGGGCUGACAGGGGAAGUGAACUACAGUAUUAAAGGGAAUCAGAAGGCAUAUAAUAUAGCCAAAAUUAGUGGGAAGUUAGAACUCGGAAAGUUUUAACAACAGGGCACUAAAAAGCCGUAAGGAGAGAAAAGCUGAAAUAUGAAGGUGAGCUAGCCAAUAAUAUCAAAGAGAGUACCAAAAGAUUUUUCAGGUGCAAUAUAUAAAGAGUAAAAGGGAGACAAGAUUGGAUAUUGGUCCAAUGGAAAAUGAUGCUGGAGAGGUAGAAAUGGGGUCAAAGAAAUGGCAAAUUAAUUUAAUAAGUAUUUUCUGUCAGUCUUCACAUGGCAAACACUAGCAGUGUGCCAGAUAUUUGAGAGGGUCAGGGACAGAAUUGAGUGUGGUUGCUCUUACUAAAAGGAGAGGGUGCUUGGGAAUCUGAAAAGUCUGAAGGUAGAUGGGUCACCUGGGCCAGAUGGAGUAAACUCCAGGGUUCUGAAAGAGGUGGCUGAAGAGAUAGUGGAGGCAUUAGUAAUGAUCUUUCAAGAAUCACUAGAUCCUAGCACAGUUCCUGAGGAGUGGGAAAUUGCCAAUGUCAUUCCAUUCUUUAAGGGAAGGAGGGAGAAGAAAGGAAACUAUAGGCUAGUUAGCACAUCUACAUGAAGCAUUGUUGCAGGAAAUCAGCAUCCAUCAUCAAGGGCCCCUGCCCAGGCUACGCUCUCUUUUCACUACUGCCAUCAGGAAGAAGGUACAGGAGCCCCAGGACUCACACCACCAGGUUCAGAAACAGUUACUAUCCCUCAAACACCAGGCUCUUGAACCAGAGGGGAUGACUUCACUCACCCCAACACUGAGCUGCUCCCACAAACUAUGGACUCACUUUUGAGGACUCUUCAACUCAUGUUCUUGAUGUCUGGAAUCAGCGUUGAUCAGGAACAGUGAAUAUAGGAGGAGGUACUUUUCCCUGAGGUCUUUGGCACUGUUAUCAAGGCACCAGCAGUAGAAAUGUAAUCUGCGUUUACACAUCGAUUUCAAUUUGACUGUC